UGAGUACGAGAUGCUACGGCAUCGAAGCAGUCUAUGUCAUACUUCCAAGAAAAGCUUGCACUGUCAUAAACAAAGAAUGCCUGUACCAUAACCGACACAGGUGGGUAGGUAGAGUAUACUAAGGGGCGCGAGAUAACUCUCUCUAAGGAACUCGGCAAAAUGACUCCGUAACUUCGGGAGAAGGAGUGCCUUAUUUCUAAGGUUGCAAUAACAAGAUCCAAGCAACUGUUUACCAAAAACACAGGUCUCCGCUAAGUCGUAAGACGAUGUAUGGGGGCUGACGCCUGCCCAGUGCCAGAAGGUUAAAGAAGUUGGUUAGCAUUAGCGAAGCUGAUAACUGAAGCCCUGGUGAACGGCGGCCGUAACAAUAACGGUCCUAAGGUAGCGAAAUUCCUUGUCGGGUAAGUUCCGACCCGCACGAAAGGCGUAAUGAUUUGGAUACUGUCUCGGAGAGGGGCUCGGUGAAAUAGACUUGUCUGUGAAGAUGCGGACUACCUGCACCUGACAGAAAGACCCUAUGAAGCUUUACUGUAACUUGAGAUUGAAAUUGGACUUUAUUUGCGCAGUAUAGGUGGGAGGCGUUGAGAAUAAUCUUGCGGGAUUGUUGGAGCCAUCAGUGAGAUACCACUCUUGUAAUGUUAGAUUUCUAACUUUGUAUCAUUAUCUGGUCAAAGAACAGUUUCAGGCGGGCAGUUUGACUGGGGCGGUCGCCUCCCAAAGGGUAACGGAGGCGCACAAAGGUUUCCUCUGAACGGGUAGAAAUCGUAUCUAGAGUGUAAAGGCAUAAGGAAGCUUGACUGUGAGACCUACAAGUCGAGCAGGGACGAAAGUCGGUCUUAGUGAUCUGACGGUGCUGAGUGGAAAGGCCGUCACUCAACGGAUAAAAGUUACUCUAAGGAUAACAGGCUGAUCUCCCCCAAGAGUUCACAUCGACGGGGAGGUUUGGCACCUCGAUGUCGGCUCAUCGCAUCCUGGGGCGGUAGUCCGUCCCAAGGGUUGGGCUGUUCGCCCAUGAAAGCGGUACGCGAGCUGGGUUCAGAACGUCGUGAGACAGUUCGGUCCAUAUCCGGUGUAGGCGUUAGAAUAUUGAGAGGAGCCUUCUCUAGUACGAGAGGACCGAGAAGGACAUACCUCUGGUGUACCAGUUAUCGUGCCAACGGUAAACGCUGGGUAGCUAUGUAUGGAGUGGAUAACCGCUGAAAGCAUCUAAGUGGGAAGCCCACCUCAAGAUAAGUAUUCUCAC
rnacentral:rRNA from 1 species